rnacentral:rRNA from 1 species
CCUACGGGUGGCUGCAGUGGGGAAUAUUGGACAAUGGGCGAAAGCCUGAUCCAGCAAUGCCGCGUGAGUGAUGAAGGCCUUAGGGUUGUAAAGCUCUUUUACCAGGGAUGAUAAUGACAGUACCUGGAGAAUAAGCUCCGGCUAACUCCUUGCCAGCAGCCGCGGUCAUACGGAGGGCGCUAGCGUUUUUCGGAAUUACUGGGCGUAACGCGCACGUAGGCGGUUUUUCAAGUCAGUGGUGAAAGCCCGGAGCUCAACUCCGGAAUUGCCCUUGAAACUGGAUGACUAGAAUCUUGGAGAGGUCAGUGGAAUUCCGAGUGUAGAGGUGAAAUUCGUAGAGAUUCGGAAGAACACCAGUGGCGAAGGCGACUGACUGGACAAGUAUUGACGCUGAGGUGCGAAAGCGUGGGGAGCAAACAGGAUUAGAUACCCGAGUAGUC